rnacentral:lncRNA from 1 species
AUCCUCCCGCGUCCUCCCGGGCUCGCGCCGCUGUCACUGGAGCCCGCAUCCUCCGCCUCCCGCCGCCGCCGCGACCCCGCACCGGGAAUCAAGCCGGCGCGGAAAACCGCAAGCUUGACUCCACGCCCACCUGACUGGACUGAGAAAACCGAAGAAGUUGGUGAGGGUACAGCAAUAAAUAGCAGGAGGAGCAGAAUUUGAAACAGCAGCAUGCCGGUCCUGCGCCUGGUGAAGGAUGACUCGCCAGAAAGCAAAGGCGCAGACCUACCUCCGCGAGCUUGGCGCGUGGCCCAGGAGGCUCCGCGAGCCCUUGUACGUAAGGAUCGUGGCGCCCACGCUUGAGAGCAGAGCUCAGUGCAAACUUCCAACAGUUCUUCCAGUUUCCAGGGAAACGAGAUUUGGAGCUGCUGCGCGUUGCAGAGCUGCCUCUCUGCUCCCCACAUGGGACCCCUGUGGCUGGCUGGUCUUGAGGAGGAAGGAAUUGAAGCCACCUCAUCCUUGAAGGGGUCUCUUUUGGAGUCUAGCUGAAGCACUUAAUGGGAAUCCACCUAAGUCUCCUCUGACUUUUUUGUUUAUGCAAAGAGUCCAGGGAAGCCAUGUCAGCUGUCCAUGUCUUAGUGAGAUCCAGAAUCAGUGGGGCACAUCUCCCAAGAGAGAAUUGCCAUUCUGCAUCUCCAUCAUGAGGAUGCUGCUGGACUACCUCUGCAGGAGUUUGCACUGAUGCUGUGCUACAAGGAACAAAGACCCUUCUCUGCUUUGGUUUUCUUCAGAAAUGGUCCUGGCUCUAUCUCCCACAUAUUCCAGCCUCCCACCAUUACAGUUGGGGUGGACUUUCCUUCUACCUGUGGAACACAUUAAAUGGAGUUCUUGUGUU